CACACAGCUCAGUAACACGUGGCUAAUCUGCCCUUGGGACUAGAACAACCCCGGGAAACUGGGGCUAACUCUAGAUAGGUGAAGAACUCUGGAAUGAGUCUUUGCCUAAAUAGGUUCACGUUAUCCUCGUGAACUUGCCCAAGGAUGAGGCCGCGACCGAUCAGGUUGUUGGCGAGGUAAUGGCUCACCAAGCCUUUUACCGGUGCGGGCCGUGGGAGCGGGAGCCCGGAGAUGGGUACUGAGACAAGGACCCAGGCCCUACGGGGCGCAGCAGUCGCGAAACCUUUGCAAUACACGAAAGUGUGACAGGGCUAUCCCGAGUGCCAUCCGCUGAGGAAGGCUUUUACCCAGUCUAGAAAGCUGGGGGAAUAAGGAGAGGGCAAGUCUGGUGUCAGCCGCCGCGGUAAUACCAGCUCUUCGAGUGGUGUGGAUGUUUAUUGGGCCUAAAGCAUCCGUAGCUGGCUAGGUUAGUCCCCUGUUAAAUCCACCGAAUUAAUCGUUGGAUUGCGGGGGAUACUGCUUGGCUAGGGGACGAGAGAGGCAGACGGUAUUUUCGGGGUAGGGGUGAAAUCCUAUAAUCCCGGGAAGACCACCAGUGGCGAAGGCUGUCUGCUAGAACGCGCCCGACGGUGAGGGAUGAAAGCUGGGGGAGCGAACC
rnacentral:rRNA from 1 species